CGCACCCCAUCUUUUCCGCUCCCAGUUUCUACAACCCACCAUAUCCAAUCUGCGGCGGCUCCAAGCCUCGCCCCGAGCGGUGCCCUCUGCCGGCUACGUCUGGUCUCCUCGGUCGACGACCUCACCAGUCAGGGCCGGUCGGCUUCCCUUGUCCUCCCCGUCCCCUGGCCGCACCUCUCCUGGCGUCGUCCUCAACGUCCGCAAGCCAGGUCCAUGCCGGCGUCAUCCUCCUGCAAAAUUCUGCCACAUCAAGCCAGCGCACCCUCAAAUCCCAUCUGCUCUAUCAAGCAGGUCAAAAAGACAAAGCUGACCACUCCAACACAACCUAAGACAUUUGUGCUCCAAGAAAACAUCAAGACAUUUGUAGAAUUGGAAUGCAUUGCAGGAGCAAGGAGCAACCACACAAGAAUUAGUCUUUAAAUGAACACAUAUUAUGUAUAAUGUAUGGAAAGCUUAGUUCUAGUUUGUAGUAUCUUAUUAAUUAUUUACAUAUUUCAUAUGAAUGUUGGAUCUGAUGCAGCUGUGAACUCCAUGUCUCCAUACACUUUUAGUGUAUGUAUUUGUUCAUAUACUUGUUACAAAGGAUGCUAAUUCUGAGAAUGGAUUGCUUGCAAAUGCAAUUGCUGA